AUACGGAGGGUGCAAGCGUUACUCGGAAUCACUGGGCGUAAAGCGCGCGCAGGCGGCUAUUUAAGUUGGAUGUGAAAGCCUACGGCUCAACCGUAGAACUGCAUCCAAAACUAUUUAGCUAGAGUGUGGGAGAGGAAGAUGGAAUUAGUUGUGUAGGGGUAAAAUCCGUAGAGAUAACUAGGAAUACCAAAAGCGUAGGCAAUCUUCUGGAACACUACUGACGCUGAGGCGCGAAAGCGUGGGGAGCAAACGGGAUUAGAAACCCCAGUAGUCC
rnacentral:rRNA from 1 species